rnacentral:rRNA from 1 species
UACGGAGGGGGCUAGCGUUGUUCGGAAUUACUGGGCGUAAAGCGCACGUAGGCGGCUUUGUAAGUUAGAGGUGAAAGCCCGGGGCUCAACUCCGGAAUUGCCUUUAAAACUGCAUCGCUAGAGUUGUGGAGAGGUAAGUGGAAUUCCGAGUGUAGAGGUGAAAUUCGUAGAUAUUCGGAAGAACACCAGUGGCGAAGGCGACUUACUGGACACAUACUGACGCUGAGGUGCGAAAGCGUGGGGAGCAAACAGG